UACGUAGGGUGCAAGCGUUGUCCGGAAUUAUUGGGCGUAAAGAGCUCGUAGGCGGUCUGUUGCGUCGGCUGUGAAAACCCGGGGCUCAACCCCGGGCCUGCAGCCGAUACGGGCAGACUAGAGUUCGGCAGGGGAGACUGGAAUUCCUGGUGUAGCGGUGAAAUGCGCAGAUAUCAGGAGGAACACCGGUGGCGAAGGCGGGUCUCUGGGCCGAUACUGACGCUGAGGAGCGAAAGCGUGGGGAACGAACAGG
rnacentral:rRNA from 1 species